UCCCAACACAGCCCCCACUCCCUCACUCCCACAUCUCCGGCGACCGGAGUAACUCCGACGCUUGGAUUCUCGACGACACCCACCAGCCGAACACCACCCCCCUGUCAGUUGCAGAGCCGACCACCACCAUCGGGUGGUGGUGAGUGACGUUUGGACCGAGAAGUGAGAGAGAUCAGAGAGAGAGAGGAGAGCCAACGUUGUUCGAGCGGCGACAAGGCUGAGAAGAGAGAGAGGCAUAUGGACGAGAGAGAAAGAAGGGCGGCGGCAGCACCGCCGUACACGUCGGUGGUCGCCGGCGGUUCGGAAUGAUUUUCUGGCGACCCGCCAGAGAAGAUGGUUCAAAGAAUUGUUGCAGCUUUUACAAUUGCAAAGGUAAAUUUUAUAUGCUUUUGUAUUGUGUUUUUGAACUUUGCAGACUGCAACCGCCACCGGUCGUUCCAUCUGACGAGGAUCCCUCCAUCUCCUUUGUUCGGUUCACCGGCGAGAUGUCCUGGUCUAAAGCCGAUCCGCCACUUCUGAUUCAAAUCAGAGAAGACCAGUUAUGUGGUGGCAACCAGCUUGCUCGCAGCAAAGAGGUCGGGUCCAAUACCAUACCCCAUCAACAACUUUAUUAAAGUUAUGUCUCAAGGCUCUUAAUGAUCGACAUGGUUGUUGCUCUUAAUGAGCUUGAUCGCCAAGAAAAAGUGCAUUUAGCUGUCAAGGUUUAACUCAUCUCUUUUUACUUCAAUGGAUGGUGAUUCAAUUGGUACUUACUAUUAUAUGUGGCAAAAUAGGCUAUCCAGAGGGUGAAUGAGCUUUUUUCUGGAACAAAUGUGUCGAGCUAGGGCUGAAUCCAAACUUCUGCAUUGAAGAUGUUGGUAAGGAAGAAAGUGGCUCCGCUCAAUUCCUUAUGCACCGGAUGAAAACUGGCUAACAUUGGGGCUUUAAAUACUGCUCAUGGAUUGAACGUGUCAGCCCUCUUUAAGCCUUAAUUUUGGCAGCCCAUCAUAGGCCCAAGAGUGGUAUGAGAAGUCUACUGCCAUAGAUGAUAUGUGAGUGCCAAGUAUGGUCAUGGAGUUAUGAUGUAAAGGAUUAGAUACUAUCAAAACGUUCUUUUGGACUUGCAUUAUAUACCAAGGCAUGUUUGUAAACAUCAUCUUUUUAUUAUUUUGUUAUUUUUUUGUCAAGUUCAUCUGUAUUCUCUGAUUAAUUCGCCAAACUCAUUUGGAUUUUCUGAAAUGAAUACACAUCCAAUCGACUAUUA